rnacentral:rRNA from 1 species
GAUGAACGCUGGCGGCGUGCCUAAUACAUGCAAGUCGAGCGAACAGACGAGGAGCUUGCUCCUCUGACGUUAGCGGCGGACGGGUGAGUAACACGUGGAUAACCUACCUAUAAGACUGGGAUAACUUCGGGAAACCGGAGCUAAUACCGGAUAAUAUAUUGAACCGCAUGGUUCAAUAGUGAAAGACGGUUUUGCUGUCACUUAUAGAUGGAUCCGCGCCGCAUUAGCUAGUUGGUAAGGUAACGGCUUACCAAGGCAACGAUGCGUAGCCGACCUGAGAGGGUGAUCGGCCACACUGGAACUGAGACACGGUCCAGACGCCUACGGGAGGCAGCAGUAGGGAAUCUGCCGCAAUGGGCGAAAGCUUGACGGAGCAACGCCGCGUGAGUGAUGAAGGUCUUCGGAUCGUAAAACUCGGUUAUUAGGGAAGAACAAAUGUGUAAGUAACUAUGCACGUCUUGACGGUACCUAGUCAGAAAGCCACGGCUAACUACGUG